rnacentral:rRNA from 1 species
UACAGAGGGGGCAAGCGUUGUUCGGAAUUACUGGGCGUAAAGGGCGCGUAGGCGGCCCGCUAAGUCGAACGUGAAAUCCCCGAGCUCAACUCGGGAACUGCGUCCGAUACUGGCGGGCUUGAAUCCGGGAGAGGGAUGCGGAAUUCCAGGUGUAGCGGUGAAAUGCGUAGAUAUCUGGAGGAACACCGGUGGCGAAGGCGGCAUCCUGGACCGGCAUUGACGCUAAGGCGCGAAAGCUAGGGGAGCAAACGGG